AAGAUCUUGUAGGACACUCACAUUCGAAUUUCCUUUCAUCAGAGACCUGAACAGAGGAGUGGAAAAGAAGGAGACCUGUGCCCAGGCUGGGAGUGGUGCAUGGCUGGGGCACUAUAGGCACUCAUGGGCCCUCCCUUUUCCAGAUAAACCACCAUGAUUUCUGAGUUUUUACCUCCUUUUUAGCACUAUUUGUUGUGGCAAUUUAAUAAAAUGCUAUCAGAGAUUAUGUUCUGUCAUUGUUAUUUCUGUUUGUCUUCAUGUAACAGUAACCACUACAGAGAGAACCAAGACGUGAACUCAGAGGAAAAGUUCAGAAGCAAAGAGCAGCCGUAGGAAAUGCUGCAAUGGAAACAAAAGCAGGAAUUGUCAAACAUGUAGGAAAUCAUUGCUGUUUCAAAUUCAUUGAAGAUGCUGGAAUCAUUCCAAAGCAGAGCCAGACUGUUAAAUCACAUGAGAGUGGCUGCACUGAGUCAAAUCAAAAGCUCAUCAAGGCAGUAUCCUUAGUUAUCAGUAGCAGCUGCUGAAAAAGCAGAAAAGAAAGAGGACAAGAACGUACCUAACUAAUUUCUGAUAAAAUCUGUACUUCAGGGAUUUCUGGAGCUGUCCAUUGUGACCAGGCUAUUCUCUAAGACUGAAGAAUCCCAGCCCAUUCAGUCUCUCCAUUCACAGAAGAUGACCACCUUUCUAUCUUCAUCUGUGCCUUUUCUGAAGGGUUCUCAAGAGUAAAACAAAGUGUGGCCUCCUCGAUAUAAAACACCUUGCUGGUUUUAUUUCACUCCAACCCAGACAUCUGUUCUCCUCCAAGGUGGAAAUAAAGGAGAUAGGUUGGCAUCUGAUGAGCCAGCACUUCAAAGACCAGCACUGGCUUAGCUCCAGUUUCAGGAUUCUUGUUCCCGUACACAGCCUUCAGAUCUGUUCAAUGCUAUGCUAUAGUUUUCUAUGAAAACAGAUCUGUUCCUACAGAAGAAGAGCAUUGCUUACACUGCAAUAUUCUUAAAUAGAUUAUUUCAACAUGGGCACAGCAAUUUUAAAAAACAACCAACCAACCACCACCACAAACAACAACAAAAAAAACCCAGCUGGCAUUUACUGAAGCAGACUUUAUACAGGAGCAAGAUCAAUCUGAGGAAUGUAAACCUCAAGUGCCUACUAUAAUAUUGAUAUGCACUUCAGAUCUCAGAGUUUUGUAAUACAUUUUUAAUGAAGAAACACUUUAUAGAAACAGAGUGGGGCCCUUCAGAAUAUUGCCACGGUAUUUUCUGCUGAAUCCAUCUGACUUUAAAAGCAACAGAACAGCAUUGAAGGUAGGUAUAAUAUGCCCCCUCCCCACCCCAACCGUCCCCCCCCUAAAUUCCACUAUUUAUGAGGAAUGUGGCUUUCAUUUGUGAGAAGUAAGUGUGUGGUGAGUGUGUGUGUGCAUUUAGACAAUGGCAACAACCUGUUCUGCUGUUUGUGAUGAGAGGUCGCUGAGUUCUGUACGUAGGGACUAGUUCCUCUGAUGAAUUUACCCAGUCCUCUUUAUGUAGUUCAGGGCGAUUCAUGGACUGGUGUGUGGCAACAUAAAUCAUCCUGCAGAUUUCUCCUAAUUUUUGCUGCAAUUAUUGCUUUGAGUGUUCAGUAAUUUACAAAUCAAGCCUGGUCCUGAUCACCUCAAUCACACUGGUUUAUUUUUGCUUCCAGUCUGGGAUUCCCCCAAGGCAUCUGGGAGCUGUAAGGAGAAGGACACGUACAGUGUGUGCUGUUAUUGUAGGAGAAUAUCCAUUUGUAAAAGUUCUGCUUAGUGUGUUUUUUGCAUUACUGACACAUUCAUUUUUUAAACGGUGGAGAGGCAACAGGACAGGCGCUGUAUGAAUCAGAAGAUGAAGUGUUUGCUAUAGAACCUACCACUCUUGUAAUUAAUAGUGAAACAUUUGUUAAUAUCUGGUGAACACCUGCAUAUACUAUUCCUAAGAAUAACAUUUAAUUCCAGUUCCUCCAGGAGAAACGUUACAGAGCCAUGCUUCUUUCCUAUGAUGUGGUACAUUUGAAAAUAAAAUAAGAGGUUGGUGCUUGGAAGAGUUCCUAGAGCUUUUCCAAUUCAUCAUCUGUCUUUCUUUAAUGUCUCUGACUUCAUUCCCAAUAUGUCAUGCUGUUGCAAUGCUUUUCUGCAGCUGUCACCCCCACCUUCACACAGGGUUAAAGUGACACAUUUGUUAGGACUGUUCUAGGGCCCCUUUCAGGGUCCCAGAUGUUCAUUUACACUCAUGCCAAAGGACUGCACAGAGUGGGUAUUUACAUCAGUAGGUGGAAUCAUAGAAUCAUUAAGGUUGGAAAGACCACUAAAAUCACCUAGUUCAGCCAUCAACCCUUGCCUACGACCGCUCUAAAACAUGUCACUCAGUGACACACUUACCCUUUUCUUCAGCACUUCCAAUGACACUGAAUUCACCAUCAACAUGGGCAGACUGU